rnacentral:rRNA from 1 species
AUUGAACGCUGGCGGCAUGCCUUACACAUGCAAGUCGAACGGCAGCACGGGGGCAACCCUGGUGGCGAGUGGCGAACGGGUGAGUAACAUAUCGGAACAUACCCUAGAGUGGGGGAUAACGUAGCGAAAGUUACGCUAAUACCGCAUACGAUCUAAGGAUGAAAGUGGGGGAUCUUCGGACCUCAUGCUCAUGGAGUGGCCGAUAUCUGAUUAGCUAGUUGGUGAGGUAAAGGCUCACCAAGGCGACGAUCAGUAGCUGGUUUGAGAGAACGACCAGCCACACUGGAACUGAGACACGGUCCAGACUCCUACGGGAGGCAGCAGUGGGGAAUUUUGGACAAUGGGGGCAACCCUGAUCCAGCAAUGCCGCGUGAGUGAAGAAGGCCUUCGGGUUGG